GUGAGUCAUGUAUGCCCCGGGUUUUUACGGCAAAUGGGGAUCCAGAAACAGUCCAGCAUUUUGAAUCAGUUUUGAGAAAAUACAUUUGGACAGAAAAUCACCAGGCUUGGCAAAAGACGCUGUGCCAUCAGACCCUCAGUCCUCAACGGUCCUCCAAAGUUAAUAAAAGGCUGCCUCUUUUACCGACAGCAGCGCCACAUCUAAUGAAAACCUACAGAACAGUUACACUUACCUGUUUACACACAGGUGCUACACACACACACAUCCAAUU